GCUGGAAUAGCUUAGUUGGUUACAGCGUGUGGCUGUUAACCACAAGGUCGGAGGUUUGACUCCUCCUUCUAGCG
rfam:Erythranthe guttata cultivar DTN x IM62 scaffold_62_contig_20, whole genome shotgun sequence.